UACGUAGGGGGCAAGCGUUGUCCGGAUUUAUUGGGCGUAAAGAGCGUGUAGGCGGCUAGAUAGGUCCGUUGUGAAAACUCGAGGCUCAACCUCGAGACGCCGAUGGAAACCAUCUAGCUAGAGUCCGGAAGAGGAGAAUGGAAUUCCUGGUGGUAGCGGUGAAAUGCGCAGAUAUCAGGAAGAACACCCGUGGCGUAAGGCGGUUCUCUAGUACGGUACUGACGC
rnacentral:rRNA from 1 species